rnacentral:rRNA from 1 species
UACGUAGGGGGCAAGCGUUGUCCGGAUUUAUUGGGCGUAAAGAGCGUGUAGGCGGUCUGUUACGUCUGCUGUGAAAACCCGGGGCUUAACCCUGGGCUUGCAGUGGAUACGGGCAGACUAGAGGCAGGUAGGGGAGAAUGGAAUUCCCGGUGUAGCGGUGAAAUGCGCAGAUAUCGGGAGGAACACCGGUGGCGAAGGCGGUUCUCUGGGCCUUACCUGACGCUGAGGAGCGAAAGCGUGGGGAGCGAACAGG